rnacentral:rRNA from 1 species
GCUCAAAUUUGAAACUCUAGCGCAUGCUGCGAAUUGUAGUUUAGAGAAACGUUUUCGGGGCCGGCAGCCAGUACAAGUUCUUUUGGAACAAGGCAUCACAGAGGGUGAAAAUCCCGUCUUUGACUGGCAGCUUGGUUCCAUGUGAUACGUUUUCCAAGAGUCGGUUUGUUUGGGAAUGCAGACCAAAAUGGGUGGUAAAUACCAUCUAAAGCUAAAUAUUGGCGAGAGACCGAUAGCGAACAAGUACCGUGAGGGAAAGAUGAAAAGAACUUUGAAAAGAGAGUUAAACAGUGCGUGAAAUUGUCAAAAGGGAAACGUUUAAAACCAGUAUUGCGGGCAGAAACUCAGGUUCCAUUUAUGGGGCUGUAUUUUUCUGUCGGCGAGUCAACAUCAGUUUUGCUUGGAGUAAAACGCUAGAGGAAGGUGGCCUUCGGGUGUUAUAGCCUCUAGUAAUGCUCUGGGCGGGACUGAGGACUGCAGCGUUCUUUGGGUUUACCACACCAACGCUUAGGAUGUUGACGAAAUGGUUUUAAGCGACCCGUCUUGAAACACGGACCAAGGAGUCUAACAUAUAUGCGAGUAUUUGGGUGGCAAACCCUUAUGCGUAAUGAAACUGAUAAGGUGGGAUCCUUUGCUGGUGCACCAUCUGACCGCGCCAGAUUAUUGCUAUCUCGGCGUGAGUAUAUGACGCAUAUCAUGUUGGGACCCGAAAGAUGGUGAACUAUGCCUGAAUAGGGUGAAUGCCAGAGG